UUAUUAUUAAAACUUAUGGUAUCAACAUCCAUCCUUAAAAGACUAAAUUUAAAGUAUGUGUAAAUCCAUACAUAGUCCUUACCUAAAAUUUAAAUACAACACAAACAUCUCCUUGUUGCAUCCCUGCCACUUUUAAAUUGAAACAACUGAAAAGACUAAACUAUAAAGAAAAGAAAUUCACCUUUCUCUCGACGCGUUGCGUGUAUGUUCAAACCUGGCAACGUUAUCCAGUACCGUCCUUUAGCGUUUUCCAGAGCUUUCUGUCCUCACAGGACACUGUCGUGUCAUCCGCGCAGAGCAGCGAGAAGGACGAUCCAGUUCUUCAUACUGGAUUUGUCAGUGGGAGGGGAGGCAGAUCAGAGCAGUGGUACUGCCCAUUCCACCCUCAGCUACAUCAUGGCUUUGUGAUGGAAGAGAUCCUGCAACAAGCUCAGACAGCACCGCAAACAGGCUCCACGCUCAGUUCACACUGUUUCCUGUUUAUACUGCUCUUCACUGAGAAUCAGUGAGAAUUUCAGGUGGACUAACACUGUUUUUCUGCUUGCUCAGCAGCUCAGGGCAAAUGGGUAAUUGGUGAGAAGAUGGCUCUGAAGAACAGGAAGAAGCUCUUAGAAACCUCUGCUGCUCACCCCAGACAAUCUACCGUACAUUUGACUCCAUAAUACACUUCCUUAGGCUGCUGUGAUUGCUCCGCCCACUUUUCAGUUGAGAUUAAGCAAUUGGUGAAGAGGCUUAGGGUUUGAUUCCCCAAGCUGUGGGAUCAGUCACACUCCAGCUUGGUACAAAAUAAAACCUAAACCAAACUGCAAGCAGUUUUCUUUACAUCACAUAUCAUUUCUUCUAUACACACUAGCAAACAGUAGGUGUUUACUGUCACCUACACCAAUGCCUCUCAAAUAGUGGGGCGCGCCCCCUGUGAUGCCAAGGGGGGGGGCGAAACAUUUUCAUUUUCCUAGGGGGGGGGGCCUUGCUAAAAACAGUUGAGAAGCACUGACCUACACCAACAGGCUUUAGCGUGGCUUUGUGUGCAUUUUUUAGUUGACGUUUCAACACUAGUUCAGUGGGUGGGCGUUUAGUACGUAGAGCCCGAAAACAGACAAUAAUCAUUGAAACUUGUGUAGCUAUGCGGGAAUGCGACACUUUUGAACACCCAAAACACACAUUUAAGGAUGUUUACAUAGACUUUUCAUUAGAAAUAGUCGCUCGAAUGCGAUCAUUUCCUUGCAGUGCGAAAACAACACAUCUUGAAGGUGGUAGAAAAUGUAUUUCAGCUAACCGUCCUAGAGGGAGGAUGUCCAAAAAAAACGGGACUGGUUCUAAAACGGAACCUGGAGGAAUACCAUAUGAAAGCUGUGCUGUUUUAGAAAAUAAAUGAAUUGCAGAAACAGAAACCUCUGUCAAUGCAGUAUGAUAAAAACCAGAAAAUCCAACAAGAUUUGCAAGUCUCUCUGUCUCCAUAAUAUGUGAGGAUAAGGUCUAAUGAACCAUGACGAAGCAUUUUUCAUAGUCAGGGGCAAAUAUAUAGUCUCAUUUAAAGAUCUUAUUAAAGCGCUUUCAUUUGGAGAAGAAUACAGCUUCAUUUUCUGCGACAGGGCAAAGACGUCCUGACUCCUCAGUGGAUUAAAACACAACCGCAUAUUUGGUGAAGAUGCGGCACCAACAAACUGAACAGAUGAAGCAGCUGGAGAGAUGCUGGUAAUGUGGUUUUUACAGAAAAAAGGUUUCUCUUCGUGACAAAAACAAACCCGCCUCUAUUUGCGUUUGCAAAGAAGUGAUUUCUCACAUGUUACAGUCAUUGUCUACCAGACCAAAACAUGUAUCCAACCAGAAAGAUGUUUGUUUGACUGAAGACAAGUUAUCAAUGAUGAAGAAUGACCCAUGGCUCACAACUUGAUCCAAAAAGAAAACAAUCCAAAUUUAUUUGAAUAAACUGGAACUUAUUCAGCUGCA